AGCCUCCCUGUUCCCUCCCUGUCCCAGACCGUGGGAGUUAAAACAAACACUCCCCAGGGCUGAUUGUCAGUGGGAACCACUCACUGUUUCCCCAAUCCAAGGAACAGAAACAAAGUGAGCAGGCAGAUGCUAGGUGAGGCCACACCACGAGGGGCCAGCCCCAGAAUCUAACCAGAUAGUUGGCUUAGGGUUAAGGGCCUUUUAGAUUUUAAAGUUUCACAGUAGAAAGGAUGUCAAGGGUCUCAAUUCCAAGCCCUGCCUAGGAAGGAAGCCCCCCUGCAGCCUCCUGAUGGCCUGAUGAUGUCUGGUGCCUGACUGUGCAUACCCCCACUCCCACACCAGAUAUGUGACUCACUUCCAACACUGUGAAUUGCUCAGCCCAAAGGGCAUCUGACUUCACACUGAGCUGAGCCUAUCCUGUGUCCCUGGACUCACCCAUUGGUCCCUGCUCUGCAUUGAGGAUCCACAAAGCCCACCUGCCCUCAGACCUGCCACAGCCCUUCAAAGGGCAAGAGGCACAACCAUGACCCUCAGGCUAGCUCUUGAUUCCAGGCCAGAGACCCAGUCCUUUCAAUUAUGUUUUACAGACCACAGUGUGGGAACCCGCCCUCAUCCCUGCCACCUUCUCUCCAAUUUUUCUGUAACUUGGGAGCAUGCAGUGGCAGGCCUGUGCCACAGGACCCAGCCGCAUCUCAUCUCUCCCCAUCUCAUCUCAUGCUUGUUGCCUGCCGCUAUGAUAUAGUCCCUGGGCCUUUGGAGUUUCUUCCAUAUCCUGGUCCUUGGCAUCUGGGCUGGGUGGUCCAUGGACAGUGCUGGACAUUUCCUGAUUCCUGGAACUCAGUCCCAGGAUCAGGGUUUUCUGUUCCCCUUGGCAGGAAUCCCAUGCUGAUUCCCAUAAAGCAAGGCCAGUUCUUGGUCUUCUUAAAGGCGAUGUUGGCCUAGCAGAGGCCUUGCUGGUUGCAUCUGUUCUUUCUGGCCAGAGACCUUGGUGGGUAACAGCUGGUACAGCCUCACAGCCCAUGUGCUCAGGGCCUCAGAGCCAUGUGUGGUGCCAGUGGCCAGCUCCCCAUGAGAUGCAAACAUCAGGGGAUCCAGCUAAUACCUCAUUCCCCCUUGAGGCCUGGCCUAGACUGGGUGUGUGGUGUGUGUGUGUGUACUUGUUCAUCUGCCCAACCAUCCAUCCAUCCAUCCAUCCAUCCAUCCAUCCAUCCAUCCAGGGAUUCAUUCAUUCUACAUGCCUAAUGUGGGCCAGGCUCAAGAGACCCAGAGAGGAGAGCCCUCUGGGAGUCCCCAGUCUGGUAGAGGGAGCAGGAGUAGACACAGUGAGAGCACAUUAGAAACAGGCACAAUCACAGAUGGAAGCCAGGUGCUGUGGGUGCCCCAAGGAGGAAUUGCCUUGGGUGGAUUAGGGAAGACUUCCCAGGUAAGGCUUGUAGCAUAGGUAGGAGUUCAUUUGGUGCCAAUAGUAGAAGUAGUGACCAGGUGCAGUGGCUCACGCCUGUAA